rnacentral:miRNA from 10 species
CUGUGUCACUCAGUGUCAAACA